AGUUGUUGCAGUUAAAAAGCUCGUAGUUGAACCUUGGGCCUGGUUGGCCGGUCCGCCUCACCGCGUGCACUGGUCCGACCGGGUCUUUCCUUCUGGGGAGCCGCAUGCCCUUCACUGGGUGUGUCGGGGAACCAGGACUUUUACUUUGAAAAAAUUAGAGUGUUCAAAGCAGGCCUAUGCUCGAAUACAUUAGCAUGGAAUAAUAGAAUAGGACGUGUGGUUCUAUUUUGUUGGUUUCUAGGACCGCCGUAAUGAUUAAUAGGGAUAGUCGGGGGCAUCAGUAUUCAAUUGUCAGAGGUGAAAUUCUUGGAUUUAUUGAAGACUAACUACUGCGAAAGCAUUUGCCAAGGAUGUUUUCAUUAAUCAGUGAACGAAAGUUAGGGGAUCGAAGACGAUUAA
rnacentral:rRNA from 1 species